GUGGGGCUCAGGGGAACAUGUCUGAGUUGCAGCUGCUCAGGAGGCUACCGCAGGAGGAUUAGUUGAGCCCAGGACUUCUGGGCUGUAGGCACUAUACCCAUCAGGUGUCUGCACUAAGGUCAGCACCGAUUUGGUGACCUCCUGAAAGUCAGAGACCACCAAGUUGCCUAAGGAGGGGUGAACCAACUCAGGUUGGAAAUGGAGCAGAUCAAAAUUCCCAUGCUGAUCAGUGGUGGGCUGUGCCUGUGAUAGCCAUUGCACUCCAGCCUGGGAAACAGCAAAACACUGUCU
rnacentral:SRP_RNA from 10 species